GAUGAACGCUGGCGGUGUGCCUAACACAUGCAAGUCGAGCGACCAGACGGGGAGCUCGUUCUUCUGCCGUUAGCGGCGGACGGGCGAGUAACACGUGCAUAACCAACUUCUAUGUCUGGGAUAAUAUCGGGAAACCGGUGACAAUACUGGCUAAUACAUCCAACCGCAUGGUUCAAUAGUGAAUCACGGCUUUGCCGUCUCAAUUAGCCGGUUCCGCGCCGCAUUAGCUAGUUGGUAAGGUAACGGCUUACCAAGGCGACGAUGCGUAGCCGACCUGAGAGGAUGAUCGGCCACACUGGAACUGAGACACGGUCCAGACUCCUACGGGAGGCAGCAGUAGGGAAUCUUCCGCAAUGGGCGAAAGCCUGACGGAGCAACGCCGCGUGAGUGAUGAAGGUCUUCGGAUCGUAAAGCUCUGUUAUUAGGAAAGAACAGAUGUAUAAGAAACUAUGCACGUCUUGACGGUACCUAAUCAGAAAGCCACGGCUAACUUCGUG
rnacentral:rRNA from 1 species